rnacentral:misc_RNA from 1 species
UCACAGUUUGCACUGGCAGUCUUGCUAGAGUUCCCGACAUGACUCGCUGGCAACUAACAACAGGGGUUGCGCUCGUUAUAGGACUUAACCUGACACCUCACGGCACGAGCUGACGACAACCAUGCAGCACCUUGUAAAUUGUCCGAAGAAAAAACUGUUUCCAGUCCUGUCAAUCUACAUUUAAGCCUUGGUAAGGUUCCUCGCGUAUCAUCGAAUUAAACCACAUGCUCCACCGCUUGUGCGGGCCCCCGUCAAUUCCUUUGAGUUUCAUUCUUGCGAACGUACUCCCCAGGUGGGAUGACGUUAGUGACCUUUGC